GGGAUUUUCAAAAACCUAAACCCACGCGGUCUAAGUCAUGGAUAUUAUCUAGUAUUCUUAUAAGAUAUUGGAU